CCUAAAAAAGAAAUCAACGGCGUGCAUCUCUUGAGGCAACGAGUAGACUCCCGAAGAACAAGAAAUCUAAGAAGCAACAUGUUGAGAUUACGGACAGCCAUAACACAGAUGAUGACUUCGUUGAUCCUCCGGUUCAAGAAACAAGUACACAGGAUAACCAAGACUGUUUGUUUCUGUGCCGUUAUGUUUUGUAAAGUAUGCAUUUGUGGGUGUAUUGUAUGUUAGUGAAAGUGUGCAUCAGGUAAUAUUAUUUCAGUGCAAUUUUGAAUGUUUAUAAUGUGCAUAGUA